CAGUCGCCGCGGGAAUACGGAGGGUGCAAGCGUUAAUCGGAAUUAUUGGGCGUAAAGAGCUCGUAGGCGGUUUGUCGCGUCUGCCGUGAAAGUCCGGGGCUCAACCCCGGAUCUGCGGUGGGUACGGGCAGACUAGAGUGAUGUAGGGGAGACUGGAAUUCCUGGUGUAGCGGUGAAAUGCGCAGAUAUCAGGAGGAACACCGAUGGCGAAGGCAGGUCUAUGGGCAUUAACUGACGCUCAUGCACGAAAGCGUGGGGAGCAAACAGGAUUAGAUACCCCGGUAGUCCCUGUCUCUUAUAC
rnacentral:rRNA from 1 species